rnacentral:rRNA from 1 species
UACGAAGGGGGCUAGCGUUGUUCGGAAUUACUGGGCGUAAAGCGCGCGCAGGCGGUUCUUCAAGUCAGAGGUGAAAGCCCAGGGCUCAACCCUGGAAUGGCCUUUGAGACUAGAGAACUAGGGUACGGGAGAGGUGAGUGGAAUUCCGAGUGUAGAGGUGAAAUUCGUAGAUAUCGGGAGGAACAUCAGUGGCGAAGGCGACCACCUGGCCCAACACUGACGCUGAGGUGCGAAAGCGUGGGUAGCAAACAGG